UCUCCGUAGGUGAACCUGCGGAGGGAUCAUUACAGAGUUCAUGCCCUACCGGGUAGAUCUCCCACCCUAUGUUAUUAUUACUUUGUUGCUUUGGCGGGCCGUUAGGCUCCGGCCCGACUACCGGCUCCGGCUGGUAAGCGCCCGCCAGGGGACCCAAAACCCUGAAUAUUAGUGUCGUCUGAGUACUAUAUAAUAGUUAAAACUUUCAACAACGGAUCUCUUGGUUCUG
rnacentral:misc_RNA from 1 species